UGUAGUGUAGUGGUUAUCACAUCUGUCUUACACACAGAAGGUCCCUGGUUCGAGCCCGUGCA
rnacentral:tRNA from 1 species